GACGAACGCUGGCGGCGUGCUUAACACAUGCAAGUCGAACGGAAAGGCCCUUCUUUUGUUGGGUGCUCGAGUGGCGAACGUGUUAUUAACACGUUAGUAACCUGCCCUUUACUUUGGUAUAACUUCAGGAAACUUGGUCUAAUACCGGAUAUGAGCUCCUGCUGCAUGGUGGGGGUUGUAACGUUUCGGCGGUUGGGGAUGGACUCGCGGCUUAUCAGCUUUUUGGUGGGGUAGUGGCUUACCAAGGCUUUGACGGGUAGCAGGCCUGAGAGGGUGAACGGCAAAAAUGGGACUGAGAGACGGAACAGACUCAUAGGGGAGGAAGAAGUGGGGAAUAUUGAAAAAUGGGCGGAAGACUGAUGAAGAAAAGCAGCGUGAGGGAUGAAGGACUUCGGGUUGUAAAACGCUUUAGAAUGUGAAGAAGAGUGAGUGACGGUAAUGGGUAAAGAAGCAACGGCUAACUACGUG
rnacentral:rRNA from 1 species